GGGGCCAGAUCCUCCUGAAGAGGUCCAGGAAAAAGGCAAUUACAUCCCCAAGAAAUGUGGCCAGUCAGGGAGCGUGAGAGCUUGUGCUGCUCUUGGGGGCCACAGAGACCCACCUGGCUGGUUCUGGAUGAGACAAAGGCUGCAGACUGACACACCUAUGCAACUCUCCUCCUGCCCAGGCCUUGGAAGUCACCGGCAACCCCUGCCCCUCCAAACUCAGACACGUCCUCAGGAUCUCUCUCAACACAGUACUGCAGGCAACCACAACUGGGCAGCCCAAGUGGGUGAGCAAGAUCAAUGCGGAAUUGCAAGGGGCCUCAAGUAGCAAAAACAACCUUCAAAAAGAAGAACAAAGUCAGAGGAGUUACACUUUCUGAUUUCAAAUUUACUACAAAGCUACAGCUGUUAAAACAGUGUAAAACUGGCAUAGGGAUAGACAUAUAAAUCAAUAGAAUAAAAUUCAGAGUCGUUUAAGGCCAGUUAAUUUUUGUCAUGGAUGCCAAGCUCAUUCAAUGGGGAAAGAACAGUCUUUUCUACAAAUGUUACUGGGACAACUUGAUUUCUGCAUGCAAAAGAUGAGGUUGGACCCCUACCUCACACUAUAGGCAAAAAUUAACUCAAAAUGGAUCAAUACCCUAAAUAUAAGAGCAAAAGCUGCAAAACUCUUAGAAGAAAGCAUAGUGGUAGAUCUUCAUGACCUUGGAUAUGGCAAUGGAUUCUUAGAUAUGAUAUCAAAAUCUCAAGUAAGAAUAACAAUAACAACAAAAAACAGAUAAAUUAGACUUCAUCAAAUUUAAAACUUUUGUGCACCAAACAACAUUAUCAAGAAAGUGAAAAGACAACCACAGAAUGGGAGAAAACACCUGCAAAUCAUAUAUCUAAUAAUAGUUUAAUAUCCAGAAUAUAUAAAGAACUUCUAAAACUCGAAAACAAAAGAACAAAACAACCAAAUUUAAAAAUGGGCAGGCUGGGCAUGUAGCUCAUGCUUGUAAUCCCAGCACAUUAGGAGGCCAAGGCAGGCGGGUCCAUUUGAGCUCAGGAGUUUGAGACCAGCCUGGGCAACAUAGUGAUACUCCAUCUCUACAAAAAAUACAAAAAUUAGCCAGGCAUGGUGGCUUAUGCCUGUAAUCCCAGCUACUCUGGAGGCUAAGGCUGGAGGAUGACUUGAGGCUGGGAAUCAGAGGUUGCAGUGAGAUCAUGCCACUGCCCUCCAGACUAGGAGACAGAAUGAGACCCUGUCUCAAAAAAUAAAUAAAAAUAAAAAUAAAAUAAAAUAAAAAUGGGCAAAGGAUUUGAAUAGAUGUUUCUCUGAAGAAGAUGCACAAAUGCCAAUAAGCACAUGAAAAGAUGCUCAACAUCACUAAUCUUUAGAGAAAUGUAAAUUAAAGCCACCAUCACUUCACCUAUUGGCAUGGCUAUAAUCAGAAAAGCUAAAAGUAACAACUGCUGGUGAGGAUGUGGAGAAACUGGAACUCUUGUGCAUUGAUGAUGGAAAUGGAAAGUGGUAUAACUGUUGUGUAAAAUAGUGUGGUCAUUCCUCAAAAAGCUAAAUGUAUAGUUACCAUGGAAUUGUGACCCAAUAAUUCCAUUCCUAGGUAUAUACUCAACAGAAUUGAAAACAAGAAAUCAAAAAAUGCUUGUGUCCCAAAGUUUAUAGCAGCAUCAUCCACAAAAGCCAAAAGAUGGAAACCAGGCAAAAGUCAACCGACAGAUGAAUGGAUAAAUACAGCGUGCUCCACCACACGGAAUAUGAUUCAUCCGCACAAAGGAACAAAGUUCUGACACACAUGACAACAGAGAUGAACCUUGAAAACAUUAUGCUGAGUAGAAUAAGCCAGACACAAAAGGACAAAUAUUGUAGGAUUCCAGAUCUAAACUAGGCAAAUUUAUAGAGACAAAGCAGAUUAGAGGUUACCAAGGGCUAGGGGUGGGGGAUGGGAGGUUAUUGCUUAAUGGGUUCAGAUUAUCUGUUUGGGAUGGUGAAAAAGUUUGCAGUGCACAAGAGUUCCAGUUUUGGAAGUAGAUAUCAGUGAUGGUUGCACAACAUCGUGAAUGUAAUUAAUGUGAAUUAUACACUUAAAAUGGUUAAAAUGGCAUUUUUGUGAUGUAUAUCUUUUGCUACAAAAAGAACCAUUUUUUAAAGAAGCAAUGGUGAGCAAAGUUGGUAAAUCUGUAGGUAGAUCCAAUAAAGCCUUGACAAUUCAAAGAAAAGUAAUAAUUAAUUUAUGGCCAUACAAACAGGGUGAGGCUAGUACUCCAAACAGCAAAGCCUAGCAUGCCCAGUACCGGGCAAAGAGCAGGGGGAGACACGGGCUGUGUCUACACAAGGAGCAUGCCUUUCUAGCACAGGUAUUAAAACUUUAGGACAAUUUAUUAAAGAAAUAGAAAAUAUGAUCUCUGUGUUAGUUUCCUGUGAUUGCUAUAAGAAGUUACCACAAGUCUGGUAGUUUAUAACAACAA
rnacentral:lncRNA from 10 species